GUGGGGGGGUUGGAGCCUAUCCCAGUUGACACUGGGCAAAGGCGGGGUACACCCUUUACAGAUCGUCAGUCCAUCGCAGGGCCAACAUAUACAUAACAACCAUUCACACUCACUCACUCACUCCACACAGAAAAGCCAGAACUUUCUUGCUGCAAGGCAACAGUGCUAACCACUGCACCACCAUGCUGCCCUUCCCUCAUUAUGUUAAAAGAAACAUUAUUUUUCCUUUGAAACAUACUUCCUGUUGUGAAUUAGCUUAAUGUUAAUAUCAUUUAUAUAUUUCAGGGUUGAAUGGACACGUUAUCAUUAACAAACACCCAGGCCUACAUGUAGGAAAAAAGUUUCAAAAUGUAAAAAAUAUAACAGUGUCUAAUGAUAAAUUAAUUAAUACGUAGGUUAAAUACUGAUAGCAAUGCUAACAUGUCACAACUGGCUCUGACCAAUCAGUUUCUAACAAUGAUUUCAGACCAGUCCUUAUUACACAUUCACCUAGUAGAUACUGUUUAAUUUUACAGGGUCACAUACAAAAGUGACUGGAAAACAACCUGCCAAGGAAAUACAUGUAGCCAUUCCACAAUGACUCAAUAUUAGAUUAAAUUACAUGUUAUGAUUGCCUUUGUUUGUAAUGUAUGGCUUCAAUCAGUGGGACAGUGAAUGCAGCAAUAGUCAAACUAAUCAUUCUAAUAUAUUUUUCAUUGUGCUGUGUGAAAUAAUCUUGAUAUUAAAACAUCAUAUGUCACUUUUCAUUUGAUCUAGAUGCAUCUAAGCAUUGGGCAAGCAGUCAAAUUACUGUAAUUACAUAAUUAGCAUGAAGGCCAUAACUUCUGGACACCAACCACAUGCUUUUCAGUGUCUCCUCCACAUAGUGAUCUAUGAUGACACACCCUCAUUUAUACUACAGUUUGGAAAAAUAUUUCCAGUGAUUGGAACUAAAACUAUAGCUAAACUAGGACAGUGGAGGAAAGGCCAGCUUGUGGAUCGACCCAGAAUGCCCUGGUGUUCCUCCCUACGCACAGUUAAGUCCCUUGACUACACCUACGCACUUUGUGACCUCUCUGCUCAGUGGACAUCAUCAGGCAGAUUAAAAUCAGUUAAUGUACUUGGGGCUAGUUGACUCUCUCUCUCUCUCUCUCUCUCUCUCUCUCACUCACUCUCUCUCUCUCUCUCACACACACACACCAGCCAUUUGUCACUCACUUUUUAAAAUUAAUACCCAUUGUUUUUGCUAAGCAGAGGAUGUCCCAGAGGCUGCCUCACAGGGUUGUGUGUGUAGUGUGUGUGUAUGAGCUGCACAUUAGAUUCACUGAAGAGAAGGUUUCAGUGGAUUACUACAGCCCCAAAGUGCUGUGCCCUUUCAUUAACCUUGCGUUUUAGUCGUCUCAUUUAAUACAAAACAAAUUUCUAAUCUGCAGCCUGCUAAACAAUUCUGCAGCUCAUUCUGUGGCUUUGUGUAUAAGUGUGUAUGUGUGUGUGUGUUACUGUUAGUCUUAUUGCCUUGGGUUCCCUCUGCCUAGCCCCCUAAUUACUCCCCGAAACAGGCAGCCUGGCUCCUCCUAUGUGCUAUCAUCAUUUUAAAUUUAUUUUGAUUGAUUUGUGUCAGCUUUAACUAUGCUUUGGGCUGAGGUCGAUAAAUAAAGAUCAAUACUUUAAUGUUUUCCUCUGAACCUUUAUUAAAAAAUAGAUUGGCUAUAAAGAGGGCUGAAUUACGAGGAGGAGUGCCUACUUCCAAUGCAUGUCAACUGGAAUCUAAUUGAACAACACAGAACCAAUGGAGAUUAGUCCAGGGAAUGUGAGCUGCAGGAGGCCCCGAGUGUUAGAGAGAGAGGAGAGAGUAGGAAUGAGGAAUUGAUGCCGGGAGGUGAAAGAGAGAAAAAAGAAAAGCAGGCGAGUUGUUGGGUCUAGCUGAGAACAACUUGAGAUGUGCUUCUCCUCUGAUUUCUUCAUAUUCAUUUAAGGAAAGCGAUUGCACUGUGGGCAGUGGUCACUCUUCCACUGCUUUAUAACAUUCAAGGAUUUGCUUUUGUGCAUGAAUAAUAAGAUUAGUUAUUAGGGAAGCUUUCAGCAUAGUAAACAUAGUGUUAUUUGUUGACUGAGACAUGUGUAACAAAUUAUAGGAUAAAUAAGUGGAGAAACACAAUAAAUGCAUAUCAAAAUCAUGUCAGUCAUAAGCUGUGGCCUAGAUCUGAUCAAUAUCACCUUAAAUCAGUAUCAAGACUGAUUGUUAAUUUGGUAACAAGAGUUAAGGAAACAAUAUCUUACUAAGUACACGUGUGCAGGACUAUGUUCUCACAGUGGGCAUGCUAUUAAUUCUCUCUGUUGAGCAAUAACAAUAAAACAAUGGAUUACUUCUUUUGGCAACAUUUAUUUACCAUAUUCGGUACUUAAGAACACUCUGGCUUUUGUGGAUAACUUCCCAUUUUUCAUGUGUAAUGGAAAUAACAAAUGCUUUUGUAAUGGAUUGCUGGCUCUGAAACAGUCUGCUUCAGCACAGGGAAGACUCCUUUAUGGUUCCAGGUUGAAGCUGUAACUAACUUUAGGGUUAACCCACAUCACAGCACUGUGCUGCCGGUAAAGAAAAUACUUUGUUUUUAAUUACUGCAGUACUAUUUGUACAUUUAAUGCUCACUCACUCAGCUAAUUCCAAUGAAAUACCAAGGAGAAACUCUGGAACAGCAUAUGAUACAGUGAUCUCCAAACCAUCUUACCAUCUAAAAAACAAAUACAAAAUCAAAAACAAAUGAAGGAAUAUCUUUUGGAAGAAUGUGGUUCAUUCCUCCACUAGUAGUACUAGUAGUGCUGAAGUUGUUUAAAGGUGCUUUGUGUUGGUUUUUCCUUUAAAAAAAAAAGACCAAUUAGUAAUUUGAUUCUUUGACUGAAAGUAGUGCCUGUUUUGUAAAUAAUUGUUGCUCUACAGCAAGAAAAAAACAUAUUCAGGGUGAAUUCACUGAAAGAAACCAAUACUGACUGGUAGUGACUACAGCCUUAUUAAACUUUUCUAUGAUUAUGUGUAGCUACAGCAUUUAGUUAAAUUAAGGGAAAGUUGUGGUCUUGGUCUAAUAAAUAAGAACUCAAAAGUGACUGGUAGAAGACUCAUUUUACUGUCAUGUACAACAACAGUGCACAGUGAGAUGAAACAGUAUUCCAACAGGACCACAGUGUUACAUAGAACAACAGAACUACAGGAUACUACACAGGACUAACUACAGACCUAGAAUUACAUAAAGUGCAUGUGUGCAAAUAUAUACAAACAGUGCAAGACAGUCCGAAAUUUACAUGAACAGAACAAUAGCAUUGGGUAGGCACACAGUAAAGAACAGUGCAGUACUGUUCAGUACACAAUUCUGGGAGUCAUAUUUAACACAUGGUGCAAAGAGAUAAGACAAUAAAUAAGUAAAACUGAUGUGAAUAUAAGCACAUUAAACUUUGUGAAAAUGUGCAAAAAAGUUCCAAAGGCAGUGGGAUAGUGUUCAGCUGAGUAUGAGUGUGUCAGACACAACGUGCUUAUUUACAUCUAACCAAAACCAAAGUCUUUCCCCAAUGUUAGCCACAGUGCUUUUGAUGCCCAAAUCUAACCAUAGUUGGGAUGCAAACCCCACUCUCUGGUGUGACAGUCAUGAGCUUUGCAUGCCUGCCACCCACCCCAACCACCUCCUUGAAAAUCUGCUGCCAUUAAUAAAUGUGGGGAGAGAAGUUGUCUCUGAACAAAAUCCAGCUAGUAAUUAUCUUUCUCUCAAAAUGUAUUUGUUCUUGCAGUUUAGAUAUAUGUAAAUAUAAUUUCAUGUAACUUCUAGGAGACAGGGUUGCUAGGGGCAAUACUGGAGAACACACACACACACACACACACACACACACACACACAUACACAUACACACAGCAUGCUCUCUUUCAGUUUGUGCUCUACAGCUGUAACUUCAGUCUGUCCAACACUGAGUCCUGUAAGGAUCAGAGUUUUGAGGGCAGGGCAGGAAGUAUGGUGAGGUGAGAUUAAAAUGCUUUUGCUGUUAUUUGUGUCACUGUCAUUGUCAGACAAACAGAAAGAACACACUGUCCUCUGGUGCAUCAACCUUCUUUUCAAUCCACACUGUGAUUAACCUUUUGUACAGGGCACAGAUUAUGGCUUAAAUGUGGUGUGCUUACAUAGACACACAUAAUCAUGGAUGCUGCAUGCUGCUUUUGAGCUCAGUGUUGCCUGUGGUGUCGUGUUGACAGUGUGGGUACAAAGGUACACACUUGGGUAACAUUUAACUUAAACUAUAUUGUAUUAGAAGUAGAAUAUGAAGUCAUUGUAUUAUUUAAAUAGAACAAAGCCCACAUAGCGGCAAUUUAAAAGGUGUGUCCAUUUAGUGCACCUUUAAAGCUGCUCUAAUCAUUAGGUCAUAGGGGUCACUUGUUGUGACAAUACUAAUGCUGCUUUGUGUCUGCUGGAUGUUCAUCAACCAUUUGCUGACAUAAUUGCAACCACAAUUGACCAACAACCAAAACAAGACUAAAAGUAAAUAAAAAGUAAUCUUUAAAAACAAGAACUAGGUGGAAUCUAAUUAAGUAGAAAAAAGUAAAUGAUAACAUGAAGGCACAUCAAAUGUACGUUUUAAUGCAAACCAUACAAAUCAAACAUUGCAGCCUAUGAUCAACAAAACAGUUUCAUAAGCUAGCCAAAAUGGCUUGGACAGAAGAUUAUUUAGCUGCUUGACCUGUGACACUACUUGUUGCACUGCAGGUCACUAAAUUCAUUUACAAACUACUGAGAAUUACACAAGAUGACGCAACAGAACAGCUGUGACAAAUUACAAAACAUGAGGUAAGGUAAUAUAACUAUCAAGUACUGUGGAUGUGGAUGUCACGUUACUUUCCUGUUGCUAUCAUAAGGAAUGAAUAAAUUCCAAGACUAAAGUUGGCAGUAACCAUCUAAAUCAUCCUUUUUAGAUAUUCACUGAAGAAAUAUCACAGUUGAUGUUAUCUGAUGAUACAACGUGUUCCAUUAAACUAAAUCCAAACAAUGAACAGUAUUUUGGUGAACAGGUAAGGGAAUCCAGCUUGUGAAUGCUCUGCAGUGAAUGCCACAGGUAGCUGAAGUACCAUUACGUUAGCAGCAAAUACUAAUCCAGAUAAGAUUAGAGAGAGCGGUUUGGUUCAAACAGAGUCGGAAAUGGUAACUGGAUUUACUGAGGUGAGUCUCUAUAUUACAUGGACACCUACUGAUAGACAGCUGUAAAUGUAUGACUAAAUUGGGACCUGUCAGUCACAAACUAUACUAAAAUGUCUUUAGUUUUGUUGACUUAAACCAGACUAAAACUAAAAAGAAUAAAAAUAUGACUAAAACUAAUAUGCUUUUUCUCCAAAAGGCUAAAACUAUGUGAAAAUUAGGUGCCAAAAUUAACACAGCAGUUGUUACAUUGUACUCACCAAAGUAUUACAGAAUCCGAGAACACUGUGACAUUGCUAAAAAUAGGUCCAAAUGUGUAAGAAACACUAGUAGUGUCACUGCAGUCUGAGAUUGCAGCAGUGACUUCAAUAGAUACAAUGUAAUCAAAACCAAUCAAACUUAGAGCUACAAAACCAAAACACAAACUGUAAAACACUUUCAUAACUAAUGUUUGUAUCACUUUACAAACUAUCAGUCUUAUUUGAUUUGAUUAAUUUGAUGAGAAGUUGUUAGAAAAAUUUAAGCCACAACCUCAGUAAAUUGUCGGUAAAUUACCCUGCUGAGAAGAAAUUAUCUUUCACUGCAGAGAGUCAGGCACAUGAUAAAACCAGAGUAAAAUCUAGUGGAAUAGUACGUCAAUGUGUGUUGAUCCAAGAGAUGCUGAAAAGAUGGCCUGACAUUUUAAUAUUUAUCCUGUUUAUUCCAUAUUUCCUCACCAGACUGCAAUGCAUUUUUACUAAAAACAAGAACAGAAACGUUUUCAGAUAAUCCAAAUAUUCCUGAACAGAAGGUGAAAUCACUGCAGCACUUAUCCUAUAUUUUACCAUACUGUCACUUUUAUUUGAAUACCUGAUGUAUGAAAGCCUAGUUAAAUACAAGGGAUUAAACACAAUAUAAACUUGAUCCAUUUCAGUGACUGGCUCUUAAUCUGUCAUUGUCUCUGUCUCAGGUGGAAGAAUACUGAUGUGUUACCUCCCAGCUCUUCACCACUGCCUGUCUCUGAUCUGCCAUAAGCCCAAUAUGUGAUUGGAGCUCAUACAUAAUGGUGUGUGUGUGUGUGCAUGCGUCUAUAGGAAAGACUGGAUAGCUGAAUCUUGCCAGCACUUACAUGUUCCACUGGUCAAAGUUCCUGAGAUGUGAAAUCCUGUCUGGAACAGAACAUAAAAGGAAGACCUUCAAUUGUGUCCAUCACAGUGGAUACAAGCACACACACACACACAUGCACAGUGGCCAGCAAAAGUUGGUAAUAAGGAAGGAUUAGGUUGGCGAGAGUGUCAGAGGGUAAAUGAGGCUGGCUAUAGUGCAUUUUGUUGUAAUGGUGUCCCAGUUGUCUUGUCAGAAAUCAAUGGGAACCAGGACUCUCUGAAAGCACAAGGAGGUCAAGGCUUCGUCUGCCUAAAUAUUUAAUUCAGAGAACACGUCUGGAGCUUCUAAAGAUGAGCGUGUUGCUUUCCUUUUUUCCUGCCAUGAAUAUUUGUGGACACAAAUACACAUAUUUCACAUUCUUUUUGGGAUUUACUGUAAAUGCACUGCUCACACGCAGGUGGAAACACAAACCAUGCAGGCACAAAUGCGCAUAAAGACACACACAAAGACACACAGUCAUGCUUGGGUGGCACUGCCAGUCCAUCUUGGCUAGGUCAGGGCUGGGUUAAAAUCAAUUCUAAUCAAUUAUUAAGAGCUUGUGUAACUCACAAGUGAUAUAAAAAAGGGAGCGAGUGGGUUGAGCUGAUGGAUAGAGUCCACUCCUUCUGUGGACAACUACAAAAGCCUCCAAAAAUCUGAAAAGAAAAAUCUGAUGAGAGAGCAAACUGAUAUUGUAUUUUUUUUGUUUACUUUGUCACCUGGAUGACAGGAUUUCUGAUUAACUUGGCUGGAUUGGGAGAUGACAAUGAAAGGAGGGAGGAAUGAGUUAGAGACCCUGUCUAAGAGUUUGUAAAAAUAGAGUUAGUGGGAUGGAGAGAAACUUGAAGGCUUAAAAGUGAAAUUAUAUGGUAGUAAUUUAGUCUUCAAGGACACUUGUCCAGGACAGUUGCUUCCUGAUUGUAGCUAUUGGUGUUAUCUUUAUCCUGUACACACACUGUUAGCCCAGAUUUUAUAUCUACUUAAAGAUUUAAUUGCAAUACACUUCUAUGGACAUUGGUGGAUGUGUGAAUUUUAAGUCAAAUUACCUUAAAUUUCUAUGUUUUUGUCAUGCCACACCUUGUUUUCAAAUCCACUGAUCCAGAGAGUCCCUCACAGUUGCAAAGUACUGGACUAUCUGCUUUUAAAACUAUAGGUUCCACACCAGGCUCUUGACUGAGACGACAGGGUUCUUCGAGGUGGGCAGGGAGAGAUGUGGACACAACUGACAAGGACUCAUACAUUCAAACUCCAGUGUGAUUCCUUUGUAUUGAUGAAGAUAGCCCACAGCUGAACCCAUCCAAAGUGGGAAUCGUCUUGGAAGGAAAUCUGGUGAUGGGUGACCUGGCUAGCCUUCCCCAGGCCUUCUGCAUCCUUUUUGGGCUGAGUUAUGUCCUGCACCUGGACUAUCCCGUGUACAUAAAAAAUACUUUCUCUUUGUCCAGUAGGUAUAAAAAUCAGUUGGCACCCAAACUUCAGUCUUUGAAAAAUCAGCUCUCAUUGUAAAGUGGGUUCCUGACUGGUGCAAAUAUCAGGUGCCUGGCUGAAAUGUUGAACUUUUGAUAUGUUGCUGCGUAUGUUUAUACUUUGUAUCAUAUAGAGGGGCACUGAUAUUGUGGUUCAGUUACAUUCAAAAAGAUGUCAGAGGAGUUGUUUAUUCUCGGAAUUGUGAGAAAAUAUUUUUCAUAGACUCCUAAGAAGAUUGUAUAUUCACCCACUUCUAGCAUUGAGAAGUGAACAGUGCCAGUAUUGUGAACUUGGAUAUUGUUAAGAGUUUUUCUGCUACAGUUUGAAGCUUAUAAUUUUGUACACUUUUUUCCACAAAUAAUUUUUAUGUAAUUUGUUGUGAUGUUACUGUGAACAUAUUUAAGUUAAAACAGCUAACAAAGA